rnacentral:rRNA from 1 species
AGUUUGAUCCUGGCUCAGGACGAACGCUGGCGGCGUGCUUAACACAUGCAAGUCGAACGGAAAGGCCCUGCUUUUGUGGGGUGCUCGAGUGGCGAACGGGUGAGUAACACGUGAGUAACCUGCCCUUGACUUUGGGAUAACUUCAGGAAACUGGGGCUAAUACCGGAUAGGAGCUCCUGCUGCAUGGUGGGGGUUGGAAAGUUUCGGCGGUUGGGGAUGGACUCGCGGCUUAUCAGCUUGUUGGUGGGGUAGUGGCUUACCAAGGCUUUGACGGGUAGCCGGCCUGAGAGGGUGACCGGCCACAUUGGGACUGAGAUACGGCCCAGACUCCUACGGGAGGCAGCAGUGGGGAAUAUUGCACAAUGGGCGGAAGCCUGAUGCAGCAACGCCGCGUGCGGGAUGACGGCCUUCGGGUUGUAAACCGCUUUCGCCUGUGACGAAGCGUGAGUGACGGUAAUGGGUAAAGAAGCACCGGCUAACUACGUGCCAGCAGCCGCGGUGAUACGUAGGGUGCGAGCGUUGUCCGGAUUUAUUGGGCGUAAAGGGCUCGUAGGUGGUUGAUCGCGUCGGAAGUGUAAUCUUGGGGCUUAACCCUGAGCGUGCUUUCGAUACGGGUUGACUUGAGGAAGGUAGGGGAGAAUGGAAUUCCUGGUGGAGCGGUGGAAUGCGCAGAUAUCAGGAGGAACACCAGUGGCGAAGGCGGUUCUCUGGGCCUUUCCUGACGCUGAGGAGCGAAAGCGUGGGGAGCGAACAGGCUUAGAUACCCUGGUAGUCCACGCUGUAAACGGUGGGUACUAGGUGUGGGGUCCAUUCCACGGGUUCCGUGCCGUAGCUAACGCUUUAAGUACCCCGCCUGGGGAGUACGGCCGCAAGGCUAAAACUCAAAGGAAUUGACGGGGCCCCGCACAAGCGGCGGAGCAUGCGGAUUAAUUCGAUGCAACGCGUAGAACCUUACCUGGGUUUGACAUGGAUCGGGAGUGCUCAGAGAUGGGUGUGCCUCUUUUGGGGUCGGUUCACAGGUGGUGCAUGGCUGUCGUCAGCUCGUGU